GGGGAAUAUUGCGCAAUGGGCGAAAGCCUGACGCAGCGACGCCGCGUGAGGGACGACGGCCUUCGGGUUGUAAACCUCUUUCAGCAGGGACGAAGGGAAACUGACUGUACCUGCAGAAGAAGCACCGGCUAACUACGUGCCAGCAGCCGCGGUAAUACGUAGGGUGCAAGCGUUGUCCGGAUUUAUUGGGCGUAAAGAGCUCGUAGGCGGCCUGUCACGUCGGAUGUGAAAACCCGGGGCUCAACCCCGGGCCUGCAUUCGAUACGGGCAGGCUAGAGGAUGGCAGGGGAGACUGGAACUCCUGGUGUAGCGGUGAAAUGCGCAGAUAUCAGGAAGAACACCGGUGGCGAAGGCGGGUCUCUGGGCCAUUCCUGACGCUGAGGAGCGAAAGCGUGGGGAGCAAAC
rnacentral:rRNA from 1 species